rnacentral:rRNA from 1 species
GACGAACGCUGGCGGCGGGCUUAACACAUGCAAGUCGAACGGAAAGGCCCUGCUUUCUUGGGGUGCUCGAGGGGCGAACGGGUGAGUAACACGUGAGUAACCUGCCCUUGACUUUGGUAUAACUUCAGGAAACUGGGGCUAAUACCGGAUAGGAGCCCCUGCUGCAUGGUGGGGGUGGGAAAGUUUCGGCGGGUGGGGAUGGACGCGCGGCUUAUCAGCUUGUUGGUGGGGGAGGGGUUUACCAAGGCUUGGACGGGUAGGCGGCCUGAGAGCGUGACCGGCGACAUGGGGACUAAGAUACGGCCCAGACUGCUAUGGUAGGCAGCAGUGGGGAAUCUUGCCCAAUGAGCGGGAGCCUGAUGCAGCAGCGCCGCGUGCGGGAUGACGGCCUUCGGGUUGUGAACCGCUUUAGCCUGUGACGCCGCGUGAGUGACGGUAAUGGGUAAAGAAGCACCGGCUAACUACGUG